rnacentral:rRNA from 1 species
UACGUAGGUGGCGAGCGUUGUCCGGAUUUACUGGGCGUAAAGGGCGUGCAGGCGGUUUGUUAAGUGCAGGGUGAAAGCUCCCGGCUCAACUGGGAGAGGUCCUUGCAUACUGGCGAACUCGAGGGAGGCAGAGGAAAGUGGAAUUCCCGGUGUAGUGGUGAUAUGCGUAGAUAUCGGGAGGAACACCUGUGGCGAAGGCGGCUUUCUGGGCCUUACCUGACGCUGAGGCGCGAAAGCUAGGGGAGCGAACGGG